CGCACCAAGACGACGAUCAGUAGCUGGUCUGAGAGGAUGAUCAGCCACACUGGGACUGAGACACGGCCCAGACUCCUACGGGAGGCCGCAGUGGGGAAUUUUCCGCAAUGGGCGAAAGCCUGACGGAGCAAUACCGCGUGAGGGAGGAAGGCUCUUGGGUUGUAACCCUCUCUUCUCAGGGAAUAUCACCUUGAAGGUACCUGAGGAAUAAGCAUCGGCUAACCCCGUGCCAGCAGCAGCGCUAAUACGGAGGAUGCAAGCGUUAUCCGGAAUGAUUGGGCUUAACGCGUCCGCAGGUGGCACUGUAAGUCUGCUGUAAAAGAGCAAGGCUCAACCUUGUAAAGGCAGUGGAAACUAUAGAGCUAGAGUACGUUCGGGGCAGAGGGAAUUCCUGGUGUAGCGGUGAAAUGCGUAGAGAUCAGGAAGAACACCGGUGGCGAAAGUGCUCUGCAAAGCCGUAACUGACACAAAGGGACGAAAGCUAUGGCCGCGAAAGGGAUUAAAUAACCCAGUAGCCCUAGCCGUAAACGAUGGAUACUAGGCGUGGCUUGUAUCGACCCGAGCCGUGCCGGAGCCAACGCGUUAAGUAUCCCGCCUGGGGAGUACGCACGCAAGUGUGAAACUCAAAGGAAUUGACGGGGGUUUGCACAAGCGGUGGAGUAUGUGGUUUAAUUCGAUGCAACGCGAAGAACCUUACCAAGACUUGACAUGUCGCGAAUCUUCUUGAAAGGGAAGAGUGCCUUAGGGAGCGCUACCACAGGUGGUGCAUGGCUGUCGUCAGCUCGUGUCGUGAGAUAUUGGGUUAAGUCCCGCAACGAGCGCAAUCCUCGUUUUUAGUUGCCAGCAUUAAGUUGGGCACUCUAGAGAGACUGCCGGUGACAAACCGGAGGAAUGUUGGGAUGACGUCAAGUCAGCAUGCCCCUUACGUCUUGGGCUACACACGUACUACAAUGCUACGGACAGAGGGCAGCAAGCUAGCGAUAGCAAGCAAAUCCCGUAAACCGUAGCUCAGUUCAGAUCGCAGGCUGCAACUCGCCUGCGUGAAGGAGGACCCGCUAGUAAUUGCAGGUCAGCAUACUGCAUUGAAUUCGUUCCCGGGCCUUGUACACACCGCCCGUCACACCAUUGAAGCUGGCAACGCCCGAAUUCAUUACUCCAACUUUUAGGAGAGGAGGAUGCCUAAGGCAGUGCUGGUGACUGGGAUGAAGUCGUAACAAGGUAGCCGUACCGGAAGGUGCGGCUCCCUCACCU
rnacentral:rRNA from 1 species